rnacentral:rRNA from 1 species
UCCCAGACUCCUACGGGAGGCAGCAGUGGGGAAUAUUGCACAAUGGGGGAAACCCUGAUGCAGCGACGCCGCGUGAGUGAAGAAGUAUUUCGGUAUGUAAAGCUCUAUCAGCAGGGAAGAAGAAGGACGGUACCUGAGUAAGAAGCCCCGGCUAACUACGUGCCAGCAGCCGCGGUAAUACGUAGGGGGCAAGCGUUAUCCGGAUUUACUGGGUGUAAAGGGAGCGUAGACGGCGAAGAAAGUCUGAAGUGAAAGCCCGCGGCUCAACCGCGGAAUGGCUUUGGAAACUUUUUUGCUGGAGUACCGGAGAGGUAAGCGGAAUUCCUAGUGUAGCGGUGAAAUGCGUAGAUAUUAGGAGGAACACCAGUGGCGAAGGCGGUCUGCUGGACAGCAACUGACGCUGAGGCGCGAAGGCGUGGGGAGCAAACAGGAUUAGAUACCCGAGUAU